CCAUUUUCUGCCACCGAAUACAUUAGCAUGGGAUAAUGGAAUAGGACCCUGUCCUCCUAUUUUCAGUUGGUUUGCCGCGAGGACCAGGGUAAUGAUUAAUAGGGAUAGUUGGGGGCAUUAAUAUUUAAUUGUCAGAGGUGAAAUUCUUGGAUUUAUGAAAGAUUAACUUCUGCGAAAGCAUCUGCCAAGGAUGUUUUCAUUAAUCAAGAACGAAAGUUAGGGGAUCGAAGACGAUCAGAUACCGUCGUAGUCUUAACCAUAAACGAUGCCGACCAGCGAUUAGGAGACGUUGAAUACAAAACACCACCAUGCGCAUUGCGGUCGUCUUUGGUGUCGCUCACAAGGCGGCACCGGGGCGGCUUAGCUCGCAUGGCACCGGUGAAUGACUCCCUAGCAGCCUUGUGAGAA
rnacentral:rRNA from 1 species